rnacentral:rRNA from 1 species
GCUUGUCUCAAAGAUUAAGCCAUGCAUGUCUAAGUAUAAACAACUUUAUACUGUAAAACUGCGAACGGCUCAUUAUAUCAGCAAUAAUUUAUUUGAUGGUUUCUUACCCCAUGGAUAACUGUGGUAAUUCUAGAGCUAAUACAUGCGUAAAGUCCCGACUCUUUCUGGGGAGGGAUGUAUUUAUUAGAUAAAAAACCAAUGCGGGUUCUGCCCGGUUUUGUGUUGAAUCAUAGUAACUUUUCGAAUCGCAUGGCUUCACGCCGGCGAUAGUUCAUUCAAAUUUCUGCCCUAUCAACUUUCGAUGGUAAGGUAUUGGCCUACCAUGGUUACCACGGGUAACGGGGAAUUAGGGUUCGGUUCCGGAGAGGGAGCCUGAGAAAUGGCUACCACAUCCAAGGAAGGCAGCAGG